CCUACGGGAGGCAGCAGUGGGGAAUAUUGGACAAUGGGGGCAACCCUGAUCCAGCCAUGCCGCGUGUGUGAAGAAGGCCCUCGGGUUGUAAAGCACUUUCAGUGAGGAAGAACGCCUGGUGGUUAAUACCCAUCAGGAAAGACAUCACUCACAGAAGAAGCACCGGCUAACUCCGUGCCAGCAGCCGCGGUAAUACGGAGGGUGCGAGCGUUAAUCGGAAUUACUGGGCGUAAAGCGCGCGUAGGUGACUUGAUAAGCCGGUUGUGAAAGCCCCGGGCUCAACCUGGGAACGGCAUCCGGAACUGUCAAGCUAGAGUGCAGGAGAGGAAGGUAGAAUUCCCGGUGUAGCGGUGAAAUGCGUAGAGAUCGGGAGGAAUACCAGUGGCGAAGGCGGCCUUCUGGACUGACACUGACACUGAGGUGCGAAAGCGUGGGUAGCAAACAGGAUUAGAUACCCUUGUAGUC
rnacentral:rRNA from 1 species